rnacentral:rRNA from 1 species
AUUGAACGCUGGCGGCAGGCCUAACACAUGCAAGUCGAGCGGAGCGGCAGACGGGGGAGGAAUGCCUAGGAAUCUGACUGGUAGUGGGGGAUAACGUCCGGAAACGGGAGCUAAUACCGCAUACUAUCAGAUGAGCCUAGGUCGGAUUAGCUAGUGGGAGGGGUAAAGGCCUACCAAGGCGACGAUCCGUAACUGGUCUGAGAGGAUGAUCAGUCACACUGGAACUGAGACACGGUCCAGACUCCUACGGGAGGCAGCAGUGGGGAAUAUUGGACAAUGGGCGAAAGCCUGAUCCAGCCAUGCCGCGUGUGUGAAGAAGGUCUUCGGAUUGUAAAGCACUUUAAGUGGGGAGGCGUUACCCACAGAAUAAGCACCGGCUAACUUCGUGUCAGCAGCCGCGGUAAUAC